rnacentral:rRNA from 1 species
GAUGAACGCUGGCGGCGUGCCUAAUACAUGCAAGUCGAGCGAACAGACGAGGAUCUUGCUCCUCUGACGUUAUCGGCGGACGGGUGAGUAACACGUGGAUAACCUACCUAUAAGACUGGGAUAACUUCGGGAAACCGGAGCUAAUACCGGAUAAUAUAUUGAACCGCAUGGUUCAAUAGUGAAAGACGGUUUUGCUUUCACUUAUAGAUGGAUCCGCGCCGCAUUAGCUAGUUGGUAAGGUAACGGCUUACCAAGGCAACGAUGCGUAGCCGACCUGAGAGGGUGAGCGGCCACACUGGAACUGAGACACGGUCCAGACUCCUACGGGAGGCAGCAGUAGGGAAUCUUCCGCAAUGGGCGAAAGCCUGACGGAGCAACGCCGCGUGAGUGAUGAAGGUCUUCGGAUCGUAAAACUCUGUUAUUAGGGAAGAACAAAUGUGUAAGUAACUAUGCACGUCUUGACGGUACCUAAUCAGAAAGCCACGGCUAACUACGUG